ensembl:lncRNA
CUCCAACCUUGACCCAUACAGGCUGCCAACUGAUCCCUCUCGUAUCUGCAGUAACCCGAAUGUAGUCUAGUAAGGUUUGCUCAAGUGAGAUGGAAAACGAAGAGUGGAGUUUCAGUGACCCAAACGCAGACUGCUCUGCAUUGACCAAGCGUGAUACCAAGAGAAGAGCUAGGCACCAGAACAGGCUGCUGGAUAGGAGACUCUGCCAUCAGAUGGCGUUGCCUGUUCUUCUUCUCUCCCCAGUUUGCAGAGUUGGAUGUGACCUCAGCAUGGAUAAGGGGUAAGUGAUUCCUCCAUCCUGACCAGAAGGUAAUCUCUACUUGUCUUGUGCUGUGUGGAGCAGGUUGCAGUGGAGAAGUGCAGUUGUCCGGGGCGCUGCAAGGACUCUAUGGAGGCAUUUGGUGGACGCAGCAGGAACCCACAGCCAGAGAUGGACGCCAAGAUGCACUCCUUCCUCUGUCUGGCAAGCUCUGCUGACCCCUGAGGUCGGCUCCCCAGUUCUGGUGGGAUCUCCGUGCCUUCUGUUGAUCCCAGAGUACUUCAAUUUGUUCUUUUAUUUUCAGGUUCUGUACCAUUUCAUGCUUUUGUGUUAUGUUUUUCUUCCUUUUGUUUUACAGGAUGGAAAUGUACACCUGGUUGGAUCUACGAUGACCCA